rnacentral:piRNA from 1 species
UGACGCAGGGCUCAGAGAAGCAGAAGGAGC